AACGAACGCUGGCGGCAUGCCUAACACAUGCAAGUCGAACGAGAUCUUCGGGUCUAGUGGCGCACGGGUGCGUAACGCGUGGGAAUCUGCCCUUUGGUUCGGAAUAACAGUUGGAAACGACUGCUAAUACCGGAUGAUGACGAAAGUCCAAAGAUUUAUCGCCAGAGGAUGAGCCCGCGUAGGAUUAGCUAGUUGGUGUGGGAAAGGCGCACCAAGGCGACGAUCCUUAGCUGGUCUGUGAGGAUGAUCAGCCACACUGGGACUGAGACACGGCGCAGACUCCUACGGGAGGCAGCAGUGGGGAAUAUUGGACAAUGGGCGAAAGCCUGAUCCAGCAAUGCCGCGUGAGUGAUGAAGGCCUUAGGGUUGUAAAGCUCUUUUACCCGGGAUGAUAAUGACAGUACCGGGAGAAUAAGCUCCGGCUAACUCCGUGCAGCCGCCGCCGUAA
rnacentral:rRNA from 1 species